rfam:Lactobacillus rennini DSM 20253 NODE_19, whole genome shotgun sequence.
GGUUAAGUGAAGUAAAGCGCACGGUGGAUGCCUUGGCACUAGGCGCCGAUGAAGGACGGGACUAACACCGAUAUGCUCCGGGGAGCUGUACGUAAGCAAUGAACCGAAGAUUUCCGAAUGGGGCAACCCAGCCAGCUUAAUCGCUGGCUGCUGGCAGGCGAAUUCAUAACCUGCGCAGCGGUAAACGCGGGGAACUGAAACAUCUCAGUACCCGCAGGAAGAGAAAACAAUUGUGAUUCCCUUAGUAGCGGCGAGCGAAGCGGGAACAGCCCAAACCAACGAGCUUGCUCGUUGGGGUUGUAGGACUGAACAUUAGAGUGACCAAAAGCAGCUUUAGCUGAACCAGGUGGGAAACUGGACCACAGCGGGUAAGAGUCCCGUAGGCGAAAAAGCGGCUUCUCUGUUCAGGAUCCUGAGUACGGCGGCACACGUGUAAUGCCGUCGGAAUCCGGGAGGACCAUCUCCCAAGGCUAAAUACGACCUAGUGACCGAUAGUGAACCAGUACCGUGAGGGAAAGGUGAAAAGCACCCCGGAAGGGGAGUGAAACAGUUCCUGAAACCGUGUGCUCACAAUUAGUCAAAGCUCAUUAAUGAGUAAUGGCGUGCCUUUUGUAGAAUGAACCGGCGAGUUACGUUAAGCGGCAAGGUUAAGGCGGAAAGCUGGAGCCAUAGCGAAAGCGAGUCUGAAACGGGCGCAUUAGUCGUUUGAGGUAGACCCGAAACCAAGUGACCUACCCAUGUCCAGAUUGAAGGUGUGGUGAAACGCACUGGAGGAUCGCACCCAUGUAUGUUGAAAAAUGCUGGGAUGAGGUGUGGGUAGCGGUGAAAUUCCAAACGAACUUGGAGAUAGCUGGUUCUCUUCGAAAUAGCUUUAGGGCUAGCCUCGAAGGAAGCAUCAUGGAGGUAGAGCACUGUUUGGACUAGGGGCCCGUCAGGGGUUACUGAAUUCAGAUAAACUCCGAAUGCCAUGGAUGCAUUGCCUUCGGGAGUCAGACAGUGAGUGAUAAGAUCCAUUGUCGAAAGGGAAACAGCCCAGACCACCAGUUAAGGUCCCAAAAUUUAUGUUAAGUGGAAAAGGAAGUGGGGUUGCUUAGACAACUAGGAUGUUGGCUCAGAAGCAGCCAUCAUUUAAAGAGUGCGUAAUAGCUCACUAGUCGAGUGACCCUGCGCCGAAGAUGUACCGGGGCUAAACAUAAUACCGAAACUGUGGAUGACCACUUCGUGGUCAUGGUAGAAGAGCGUUCUAAGGACGGUGAAGGCUGAUCGUGAGGACAGCUGGAGUGCUUAGAAGUGAGAAUGCCGGUAUGAGUAGCGCAAGACAGGUGAGAAUCCUGUCCACCGUAAGACUAAGGUUUCCUGGGGAAGGCUCGUCCACCCAGGGUUAGUCGGGACCUAAGCCGAGGCCGAAAGGCGUAGGCGAUGGAUAACAGGUUGAAAUUCCUGUACUAGUCAUUUGCGUUCGACCGAUGGAGGGACGCAGGAGGCAAGAGGAACCGCACGAUUGGAAAGGUGCGGCCAAGCAAUGCGCCGGGACUGGAGUGAAAGGCUUCAGGCCAACGGCCAGUUGUGAUGGGGAGCGAAUUUAAGUAGCGAAGUCCUUGCGGUCACACUGCCAAGAAAAGCUUCUAGGGAGCAAAUGAUUACCCGUACCGCAAACCGACACAGGUAGUCGAGGAGAGUAUCCUCAGGUGAGCGAGUGAACUCUCGUUAAGGAACUCGGCAAAAUAACCCCGUAACUUCGGGAAAAGGGGUGCUGGUCUAACGACCAGCCGCAGUGAAUAGGCCCAGGCGACUGUUUAUCAAAAACACAGGUCUCUGCUAAAUCGUAAGAUGACGUAUAGGGGCUGACGCCUGCCCGGUGCUGGAAGGUUAAGUGGACGUGUUAGCCCGUAAGGGCAACGCACCGAAAUGAAGCCCCAGUAAACGGCGGCCGUAACUAUAACGGUCCUAAGGUAGCGAAAUUCCUUGUCGGGUAAGUUCCGACCCGCACGAAAGGCGUAACGAUCUGGGCACUGUCUCGACGAGAGACUCGGUGAAAUUAAAAUACCCGUAAAGAUGCGGGUUACCCGCGACAGGACGGAAAGACCCCAUGGAGCUUUACUGUAGCUUGAUAUUGAGUGUUUGUACCGCUUGUACAGGAUAGGUAGGAGCCGUGGAAGCCGGAACGCUAGUUUCGGUGGAGGCAUUGGUGGGAUACUACCCUGGCAGUACGCACACGCUAACCCGCGCCACUAAACGUGGCCGGGGACAGUGUCAGGUUGGCAGUUUGACUGGGGCGGUCGCCUCCUAAAGUGUAACGGAGGCGCCCAAAGGUUCCCUCAGAAUGGUUGGAAAUCAUUCAUGGCGUGUAAAGGCACAAGGGAGCUUGACUGUGAGACUGACAAGUCGAGCAGGGACGAAAGUCGGGCUUAGUGAUCCGGUGGUACCGUAUGGAAGGGCCAUCGCUCAACGGAUAAAAGCUACCCUGGGGAUAACAGGCUUAUCUCCCCCAAGAGUCCACAUCGACGGGGAGGUUUGGCACCUCGAUGUCGGCUCAUCACAUCCUGGGGCUGUAGUUGGUCCCAAGGGUUGGGCUGUUCGCCCAUUAAAGUGGUACGCGAGCUGGGUUCAGAACGUCGUGAGACAGUUCGGUCCCUAUCCGUCGCGGGCGUUGGAAAUUUGCGUGGCGCUGUUCCUAGUACGAGAGGACCGGAAUGGACAUACCGCUGGUGUACCAGUUGUGCCGCCAGGCGCAGCGCUGGGUAGCUAAGUAUGGCCGGGAUAAACGCUGAAAGCAUCUAAGCGUGAAGCCCCCCACUAGAUAAGAUUUCCCAUUUCUUUAAGAAAGUAAGACCCCUACGAGAUGAGUAGGUAGAUAGCUUGGAGGUGGCAGUGCCGUGAGGCAUGGAGCUGACCAAGACUAAUCGGUCGAGGACUUAACCAA